rnacentral:rRNA from 1 species
GUUAUAAACUAAAGAUUUAAUAAGGUUCAAUUGAUUAUUAGUGUAAUACUAAUGGAAGAUAGGAUGACAUCAAGUCGUCAUGGCCUUGAUGAAUUGGGCUAUACACGUACUACAAUGAUUGUUACAAUGAGAUGACAAAAAUGUAAGUUUAAGCUAUUCUUUAAAAACAAAUCUUAGUUCGAAUUGUUCUUUGAAACUUAAGAACAUGAAGUUGGAAUUACUAGUAAUCGUAUAUCAUAAUGAUACGGUGAAUUUGGGACCUGUUCUUGCACACACCGCCCGUCACGCCACGGAAGCUCACUCUAUAUUACAUAUCAAAAAUUAGUUUUUAGAUGUUUAAUUUAAAAUAAAAUUUAUUAUAUGGUUUAUAAUAAAUAUUUUUAUUAAAACUAAAAAAAUAUGAUGGACGAAUAUCGAUAUAGAAUUAGUGACUGGGGGCGAAGUCGUAACACGGUAGCUGUAGGGG